rnacentral:rRNA from 1 species
AUGUCACAUUUUUGGUGGGGUGAUGAGGACAAUCAGAAAAGAAUGCACUGGAUGGCAUGGUGGAAGAUGUGUGUACCAAAAAACCAAGGAGGCAUGGGCUUUCGAGAUAUACAUUGUUUCAAUUUGGCUUUGUUAGCCAAACAAGAAUGGCGUCUUAUUGAUAAACUGGAGUCUUUACAUGCCACUAUAUUGAGAACUAAGUAUUUCCCUGAUGGCGACUUGAUGAGUGCAAGUUUAAAGAAGGGUUUGUCCUGUACUUGGCAAAGCAUUAUGGCGGGAGUUAAUUCACUGAAAAAUGGGUAUAUCUGGAGAGUUGGAAAUGGUUAA